rnacentral:rRNA from 1 species
AAAUUGAAGAGUUUGAUCAUGGCUCAGAUUGAACGCUGGCGGCAGGCCUAACACAUGCAAGUCGAGCGGUAGCACAGAGAGCUUGCUCUCGGGUGACGAGCGGCGGACGGGUGAGUAAUGUCUGGGAAACUGCCUGAUGGAGGGGGAUAACUACUGGAAACGGUAGCUAAUACCGCAUAAUGUCGCAAGACCAAAGUGGGGGACCUUCGGGCCUCAUGCCAUCAGAUGUGCCCAGAUGGGAUUAGCUAGUAGGUGGGGUAAUGGCUCACCUAGGCGACGAUCCCUAGCUGGUCUGAGAGGAUGACCAGCCACACUGGAACUGAGACACGGUCCAGACUCCUACGGGAGGCAGCAGUGGGGAAUAUUGCACAAUGGGCGCAAGCCUGAUGCAGCCAUGCCGCGUGUGUGAAGAAGGCCUUCGGGUUGUAAAGCACUUUCAGCGGGGAGGAAGGCGAUAAGGUUAAUAACCUUGGCGAUUGACGUUACCCGCAGAAGAAGCACCGGCUAACUCCGUGCCAGCAGCCGCGGUAAUACGGAGGGUGCAAGCGUUAAUCGGAAUUACUGGGCGUAAAGCGCACGCAGGCGGUCUGUCAAGUCGGAUGUGAAAUCCCCGGGCUCAACCUGGGAACUGCAUUCGAAACUGGCAGGCUAGAGUCUUGUAGAGGGGGGUAGAAUUCCAGGUGUAGCGGUGAAAUGCGUAGAGAUCUGGAGGAAUACCGGUGGCGAAGGCGGCCCCCUGGACAAAGACUGACGCUCAGGUGCGAAAGCGUGGGGAGCAAACAGGAUUAGAUACCCUGGUAGUCCACGCCGUAAACGAUGUCGAUUUGGAGGUUGUGCCCUUGAGGCGUGGCUUCCGGAGCUAACGCGUUAAAUCGACCGCCUGGGGAGUACGGCCGCAAGGUUAAAACUCAAAUGAAUUGACGGGGGCCCGCACAAGCGGUGGAGCAUGUGGUUUAAUUCGAUGCAACGCGAAGAACCUUACCUGGUCUUGACAUCCACAGAACUUUCCAGAGAUGGAUUGGUGCCUUCGGGAACUGUGAGACAGGUGCUGCAUGGCUGUCGUCAGCUCGUGUUGUGAAAUGUUGGGUUAAGUCCCGCAACGAGCGCAACCCUUAUCCUUUGUUGCCAGCGGUCCGGCCGGGAACUCAAAGGAGACUGCCAGUGAUAAACUGGAGGAAGGUGGGGAUGACGUCAAGUCAUCAUGGCCCUUACGACCAGGGCUACACACGUGCUACAAUGGCAUAUACAAAGAGAAGCGACCUCGCGAGAGCAAGCGGACCUCAUAAAGUAUGUCGUAGUCCGGAUUGGAGUCUGCAACUCGACUCCAUGAAGUCGGAAUCGCUAGUAAUCGUAGAUCAGAAUGCUACGGUGAAUACGUUCCCGGGCCUUGUACACACCGCCCGUCACACCAUGGGAGUGGGUUGCAAAAGAAGUAGGUAGCUUAACCUUCGGGAGGGCGCUUACCACUUUGUGAUUCAUGACUGGGGUGAAGUCGUAACAAGGUAACCGUAGGGGAACCUGCGGUUGGAUCACCUCCUUA